rnacentral:rRNA from 1 species
GACGAACGCUGGCGGCAUGCCUAACACAUGCAAGUCUAGGGGUAGCAAUACCACUGGCGCACGGGUGAGUAACACGUAGGUUAUCUGCCCCCAUCACAGACAUAACCCCGGGAAACCGGGGCUAAUAUCUGAUGAGGUCGCGAGAUCAAAGCUUCGGCGGAUGGGGAUGAGCCUGCGGCUGAUUAGCUAGUUGGUGAGGUAAUGGCUCACCAAGGCGACGAUCAGUAGCUGGUCUGAGAGGACGAACAGCCACACUGGAACUGAGACACGGUCCAGACUCCUACGGGAGGCAGCAGUGAGGAAUAUUGGUCAAUGGGAGCAAUCCUGAACCAGCAAUGCCGCGUGUGGGAUGACAGGGCUUCGCCUUGUAAACCACUGUCGGACGGGACGAAAGGAGGCCUCGGGCCUCUGGGACGGUACCGUCAAAGGAAGGGUCGGCGUAACUACGUGCCAGCAGCCGCGGUAAU